CCUACGGGAGGCAGCAGUGAGGAAUAUUGGUCAAUGGACGAGAGUCUGAACCAGCCAAGUAGCGUGAAGGAUGACUGCCCUAUGGGUUGUAAACUUCUUUUAUAUGGGAAUAAAAUGUUCCACGUGUGGGUUUUUGUAUGUACCAUAUGAAUAAGGAUCGGCUAACUCCGUGCCAGCAGCCGCGGUAAUACGGAGGAUCCGAGCGUUAUCCGGAUUUAUUGGGUUUAAAGGGAGCGUAGGGGGAUUGUUAAGUCAGUUGUGAAAGUAUGCGGCUCAACCGUAAAAUUGCAUUUGAGACUGUCAGUCUAGAGUACAGUAGAGGUGGGCGGAAUGCGUGGUGUAGCGGUGAAAUGCUUAGAUAUCACGCAGAACUCCGAUUGCGAAGGCAGCUCACCGGGCUACAUCUGACGCUGAGGCUCGAAAGUGUGGGGAUCAAACAGGAUUAGAUACCCCAGUAGUC
rnacentral:rRNA from 1 species